CGCCUCUUUAAGUCUCUUCAAUGCCAUGUUCAUUUCUCUUUUUUGAUUACCAGGUAGUGCUGUCCUCAGUCUCUUGGGGCAUACUUCUUUCCCGAUCUGGCACAAACUACCCCUCAGGGCUUAAAGACAAGCAGAUGACAGAUGAUCAAGAUUGCAUUCUUACCCAAAUACUCUUCGUGAUUGCCUGCUUUGCGGCUUUGGGGUUCUUCAGGGAGUGGAGAACAUUCACGUGGAUUGACAUCCUAGUUUUCUCAUCAUGGAGUGAGUUGCAUGGAUGGAGAAAAUAUUGGAGAGCCUUUAUAAAAUUGGAAAGUAUUCUUCCUUCAAAUAUGGUUUUUCCCUUCGAGAUCUUCUUAUUGGAUUUCUCACUUAAUUUUUUGUUCUUUUGA
rnacentral:lncRNA from 1 species